rnacentral:rRNA from 1 species
UACGGGAGGCAGCAGUGGGGAAUUUUGGACAAUGGGGGCAACCCUGAUCCAGCAAUGCCGCGUGAGUGAAGAAGGCCUUCGGGUUGUAAAGCUCUUUUGUCAGGGAAGAAACAGCAGCUCUAACACAGUCUGCGAAUGACGGUACCUGAAGAAUAAGCACCGGCUAACUACGUGCCAGCAGCCGCGGUAAUACGUAGGGUGCAAGCGUUAAUCGGAAUUACUGGGCGUAAAGCGUGCGCAGGCGGUUAUACAAGACAGGCGUGAAAUCCCCGGGCUUAACCUGGGAAUGGCGUCUGUGACUGUAUGACUAGAGUGUGUCAGAGGGGGGUAGAAUUCCACGUGUAGCAGUGAAAUGCGUAGAUAUGUGGAGGAAUACCAAUGGCGAAGGCAGCCCCCUGGGAUAACACUGACGCUCAUGCACGAAAGCGUGGGGAGCAAACAGGAUUAGAUACCCUGGUAGUCCACGCCCUAAACGAUGCCGACUAGUUGUUGGGAAUUUACAUUCUCAGUAACGUAGCUAACGCGUGAAGUCGGCCGCCUGGGGAGUACGGUCGCAAGAUUAAAACUCAAAGGAAUUGACGGGGA